rnacentral:rRNA from 1 species
CUAAUGUACCCCGGACUCUGGGAUAGCUGCCCGAAAGGGCAGGUAAUACCAGAUGAUAUAUCUUUAUCGCAUGAUAGAGAUCUCAAAGGUCCGCCGGUCUGGGAGCAGGCGAUUUCGUAUCAGCUAGUUGGUGAGGUAACGGCUCACCAAGGCGACGACGCGUAGCCGGACUGAGAGGUUGGCCGGCCUCAUUGGGACUGAGACACUGCCCAG